rnacentral:tRNA from 1 species
GUGGAUGUAGCCAAGUAGAUCAAGGCAAUGGAUUGUCAAGCCACCACGCGCAGGUUCAAUCCCGGUUGUUCGCC